rnacentral:rRNA from 1 species
CCUACGGGGUGCUGCAGUGGGGAAUAUUGGACAAUGGGCGAAAGCCUGAUCCAGCCAUGCCGCGUGUGUGAAGAAGGCCUUCGGGUUGUAAAGCACUUUCAGUGGGGAAGAAAGCCUUGGGGCUAAUACCCUCGAGGAAGGACAUCACCCACAGAAGAAGCACCGGCUAACUCCGUGCCAGCAGCCGCGGUAAUACGGAGGGUGCGAGCGUUAAUCGGAAUUACUGGGCGUAAAGCGCGCGUAGGCGGUCUGAUAAGCCGGUUGUGAAAGCCCCGGGCUCAACCUGGGAACGGCAUCCGGAACUGUCAGGCUAGAGUGCAGGAGAGGAAGGUAGAAUUCCCGGAGUAGCGGUGAAAUGCGUAGAGAUCGGGAGGAAUACCAGUGGCGAAGGCGGCCUUCUGGACUGACACUGACGCUGAGGUGCGAAAGCGUGGGUAGCAAACAGGAUUAGAUACCCCUGUAGUC